ensembl:misc_RNA Y_RNA Y RNA
GGCUGGUCAGAAGGCAGUGAGUUACCGCACUCGAUUGUGCACAGCCAGUUACAGAUUGAACUCCUUGUUCUACUCUUUCCCCUCUUCUCACGCCUGCACUUGACUAGUCUUAA